GUCUAUGGCCAUACCCCCCUGAACAUGCCUGAUCUCGUCUGAUCUCGGAAGCUAAGCAGGGUCAGACCUGGUUAGUACUUGGAUGGGAGAACCAGAAAGAAAUACAUAAUAAGUUCUUAGGCC
ensembl:rRNA 5S_rRNA 5S ribosomal RNA